UACGAAGGGUGCAAGCGUUACUCGGAAUUACUGGGCGUAAAGCGUGAGUAGGUGGUUCGUUAAGUCUGAUGUGAAAGCCCUGGGCUCAACCUGGGAAUGGCAUUGGAAACUGGCGACCUAGAGUGCGGUAGAGGGUAGUGGAAUUCCCGGUGUAGCAGUGAAAUGCGUAGAGAUCGGGAGGAACAUCCGUGGCGAAGGCGACUACCUGGACCAGCACUGACACUGAGGCACGAAAGCGUGGGGAGCAAACAGG
rnacentral:rRNA from 1 species